rnacentral:lncRNA from 1 species
CUGGCCUUCAGUGACCUUCAGAUCCUCAUGACCUCUCCUGGGAUCCAGCCACUCGACAGCAAGUGGAAGGUUUAAAGAUGAAACAAGGGGGUGAGAAGAAGGAGGCCAAGGUCACUUCUAAGCAGGUCCAGAUCUGAUGAUGACCUCUCCUCACCACACUAAUUUCCAGUAAGCCACUGGGGUCAGGACUAGUUCCCAGUAGUGGAUGAUGUGGAGAGCAGCCUGAGAGCCUGUCAGUUCUUUCUUCAGCACCAAGGCAAGUUAAUGUGCAACAUUUGGCCAUUGGUCACUGGAGGGCCAGCUGGAGAGUAGGCGGCCCCAGCACUGUCAUGGGAGGUCCCAAUAUCACUCCCCUUUUCCUCUCUGACCAAAAUAAUAAAUUAUUUCUUCUCUGCCUUAGACCUGGGAGUGGAGAACACUGCUGAGGUAGUGGACAGAUGACCCACAAAGUCCCCAAGACUCAAGUCUGAUGAAGAGAACAAUACAUCCCGGCAUUAUAGGCCUAUGGAAUCAGAAAUCACAGGAGCCCACACGAAGUCCUCACUUACCUCACUUACACAGUUUUUCAAGACCCAGUGUGCUGGCACAAAUCCGUAAACUGGAUCAGACAGAAGGCAAUUUCUGGAAGAGAGAAAUAAGCAUCUGGACAAUUUUUAUAAACACCCCCUUGGCACCAGGAUGGUGUGCUUGCUGCUGACGUGUUUUGGCCAGUACAUGACCACUCUAAAGAGAAGCAUGCUGGGUAUGAAGGCCAGGCUUGUCCUGAGUCCCACUGAGUAGGGGAGGAGGGGAAAAAAACUUUCUUGCUUCCUACAAAUCCUGAAGCAAGGGAAUGAUCAGUUUGGUUGACAGAGAAAGACUAGAGGGGGUACAAUGUUGCAGCGAUGGUCCAAGUUUCUCCUGGUGAGAGGAAACAGUCUCAGGUCCUCCCAGUUGGAGGAAGGGAUGCAGUCCUCCCUAGCACAGCAUCCUGUCUGUAGCUGGAAGCCCUGGUCCCUCUUAGACGAGGCUUUAAGAGCAAACGUGGCACCUACUUUUAGGAAGCCUGGGGUCUGAUGGGGAAAACUGUUGCUGUCCUCAGGGACCUCAGAAGUAGAAAUGUGGUUGGAAAUAUCAUCCUGGAUAGGAGCUUCUGGGGGGAAACCAGGAAUUGCUUGCUUUUCCAAAACAGUUUCCAGGCAGCUUCUUUCUGUAGGGGGACCUUUCCUGUCUCCAGCGAUCUGAGGGGAAGCAAGACAUUGAAUCCAUUCCUCAGCUAAGGCCUUUCUGUUCUUAUAGGCCAAAAUAAAAGGGACUCAACCUCCUGGUGUCA